rnacentral:rRNA from 1 species
UACGUAGGGUGCAGGCGUUGUUCGGAAUCAUUGGGCGUAAAGCGCGUGUAGGCGGCCUAUUAAGUCUGGUGUGAAAGCCCGGAGCUCAACUCCGGAAGUGCACUGGAUACUGGUAGGCUAGAGGGCGAGAGAGGAUGGUGGAAUUCCUGGUGUAGGGGUGAAAUCCGUAGAUAUCAGGAGGAACAUCAGUUGCGAAGGCGGCCAUCUGGCUCGCUUCUGACGCUCAGACGCGAAAGCGCGGGGAGCAAACAGG